AUUCAUUAGUUCCUCAAGUUUCGCAAUCUGCAGUAAUUUGUCACACUUCAUCAUCAUCAUCAUCAUCAUCAAUCUGUUGCUGAGUCCUAUGAUUCUAUCUUUAGAACAUCUUAAAUUGAUGAAUAUUAAGUUCUACAAAGAAGUUCCAGCUCAAAAUAGAAAUGACUUCAAAAUGAUCAAAGGAGUAAUAAGCUAAAAGUUCAUAUUAACAUGAAAACAUGACUACCGACAGGGGUUCAGGAGGGAGCCUUUAUUCACUCUGCAUUCUUUCUUUGACUCUUCUCCUCCCCAUCCACCAAGCUGCAUCCCAAUUAUCCAAAGAGUGAAAGUUCACCAAAGAGGAAGAAUAAUACCAACUGCUUGUGGAAGAUGCACCAGGGAAGAAAACAUUUUAUGAUUCAGUAGUCUCUAAUUUUUUUUUCAUUGUGAACCAGCAUGAUAAAGUAUUUAGUGUGCUCCC
rnacentral:lncRNA from 1 species